UACGUAGGCAGCGAGCGUUGUUCGGAGUUACUGGGCGUAAAGGGUGUGUAGGCGGUUGUUUAAGUUUGGUGUGAAAUCUCCCGGCUCAACUGGGAGGGUGCGCCGAAUACUGAAUGACUUCGAGUGCGGGAGAGGAGAGUGGAAUUCCUGGUGUAGCGGUGAAAUGCGUAGAUAUCAGGAGGGACACCGGUGGUGUAGACGGCUCUCUGGACCGUAACUGACGCUGAGACACGAAAGCGUGGGUAGCAAACAGG
rnacentral:rRNA from 1 species